GGAUGAUGGGUUCGAGGUGGCCGAUAUCGCCGUCACGAGCCCGACUGCUUCCCGACUAUGUGAGGGGGAAGAAUUGAGGGAGAGGGAAACUACAUAAAAUUAUUUCCCGAUAGAUCCCCGUUCGUGUCCCGGUCAGAAUUCUUUCCCGAUAGAUUCCCGUUUGCGUCCCGGCCAGGAUUCUUUCCCGAUGGAUCCCCGUUAACGUCCCGAUCUGCUGUGGUGUACUGGCUAAGUAUUUCUUCCCGCUCGUCUCCCGAUGUUUAUGCAGAUUCGGUAACACGUGAUCGGAUGGUACAGCUCGAGACAAAGUUUCUGAAACACGGGUUUUCUGUAUUGGACUUUUCCCAGCCACCUUUGGGAAAUGCUUGUUGAGCAGAAUCCUUGGGGAUUCUGUUCAACAAGUGUUCCCCUUAGGCCGCAGGGGAGGCGUAGAGAAGUGAAAUACAAAACACCCGUGUUUCAGAAACUUUUGUCCCAAGCUGUACGAGACAGUGAAGCAUCCCUUCAGGAAGGAAUUUGGCUGUCUGGUAUGAGGUAACUCUUUCAAACAUUGGGCUGCAGUUCACUUCAUGUGUUGUGUUGUGUUGUGUUGUAUGACGGAAAACAUGCACACGCAGCACCCUGAACAGAAGUAUUAAUGGAGCCUCACUGCAAAGCACGCAAGUACAAGAUACUCGGGAAGAGUCGGCCACGCCCGAACGAAACGACCGAAUCUCCCGAAUCGAAAAACUCACGUGAAACGAAACGAAGAGAGCUUUAGCAAGUCGAACUGAUCGGACGAAAACCGCUGCACCGAAACCCGCAAAGACUACGCUGGAGCUCCCUGCAUUUGGGCUACCGCGACUGCCAUCGCCAUCAUCUUUGUUUUGGUUGUCAUUGCUGGGUGCAAAUGGCCGGCGUGUGUGUUCUUAAUGUUUCUGAGCAACAAGUUUUGCAAAGUUUGGUUCGGAGGGAGUAUGGAACGCCGUUUUGUGGUCAACGUGGCCAGAGUGCCUCAAAAGUACUCCUGCCGCAUUCUGGUCACUGUUAUAAAUGUGAAUCCCUGCCACCAUCAGCAGCUUUUAAGUAGAUUCAUGGCACAUGAGGAACCUGCGAUGUACACCAUCGCACACAGUCAAGAAAAAUGUAGCAUUUAACCUUGCUUUCCUUCAUUAUAACAAACAAAAAAAAAGAAAGAAAGAAAGAACACUAGAGAAAGGGUCGGCAAAACAGUGAGUGUUUUGUUGUUUUUGAUUCUAUUGAUCUCUCACUGUCAGGUUGCACUGCCGAUCUGUUCACAAUCAUAACUAACUAAUACCUUAGCUUUGGCCAAUCUCAUGUUGCAAUUUUGCUUCAAACACAACAUUCAGGGAUUCUUAUGAAAACAGCAGCAUUUCUGAAAGAUCCUGGAACGGCCACAAUCUCAAGAGGUAGUACGAUUCUACCCGUCGUCAUAUUUCGUCCGCCAAGCCAUUGCGCGGAGAUGUUGGCUCCAUGCCCAUUUCAACACAGGCUCACCCGCGCUCGCUCGCGCGUCGUCGCUUGUCUUCCAUGCCACCAGCCAGCGCUGCGCGCUGCCUGUCGCGCAUGCGCUGUUCUUGUUGGCUUCGCUUUGGCUGCUGUAACGGUCGUUUCUCGUCGCCGCGUGUAGUUCGCGUAAUUGCGAGCGUUCCAGCAAGUCUAAAGCGUUUUAGAGGCUUUGUAUUGUUGUUCUCACCUGGUGCUGUCGUUCUUGCAACCCGUCUGAUAUUGCAACUGUCUGUAAGUGGAAGCGUUUCUUCUAACCGCGAGCAAACCAGUCGGUCUCGUUUGACAUGUCAAAGAGUGAAGACGCUACCUUGCAUGUGAAGCCAAAUCGUUCUUCGCCUUCAGGAUUAUUGCCGUUUCAGGGAUCUGCGCAACGACAGGGAGAUAGAACGCCAAGUGAAGUCGACUGUGUACUUUGUGCAGACGGUUCAGCGUGUAUGACGCAGCGGCCUUCAGCAAGAGAAACUCAAGCACCGUGUUCAAAUGCAGUGGGGACUCUUGCUGGCCAUGACAACGCUUAGAAGUGCUUUUUCGGAAGAAGGACAAGUUGGACCGGAAAUGAGGACCUAGAGACCACCUCUUACUGUGUACGUUCCCCCCCCCUUUUGAGACACCAUUGAAGGGCCAGUGGUUACGCAGGCAGGCUGGAUAUUACGGUAGACCAUUUCCACCCUUUUCUUUUCAGGCUACAUUGGCAAUGACAGUAGUUAUGCGGACAUGCUGCAUAUUUCUGUAUACCCCUCUUUUUUUGUUUUUCAUUUCAGACACAAUUGGCAUGCAUUGGAUGAUGCAGGCAGACUGCUUAGUGUACACCACUCGUCGUUUAGUCUAUUGAGGUGCUCCAAGUGUUGUGUCAGUCUAUUUCCUCUCCGAAAAUAAAAUGUUGGGCUCUACA